GACGAACGCUGGCGGCGCGCUUAACACAUGCAAGUCGAGCGAAGCGGCGGACGGGUGAGUAACACGUGAGUAACCUGCCUUAGACAUUGGGAUAGCCUCGGGAAACCGGGAUUAAUACCAAAUGGUCUAAGAUGGACUCGCGUCCCAUUAGCUAGUUGGUGAGGUAACGGCCCACCAAGGCGACGAUGGGUAGCCGGCCUGAGAGGGUGAACGGCCACAUUGGAACUGAGAAACGGUCCAAACUCUACGGGAGGCAGCAGUGGGGAAUAUUGCACAAUGGGGGAAACCCUGAUGCAGCAACGCCGCGUGCGGGAUGACGGCCUUCGGGUUGUAAACCGCUUUCAGCCAUGACGCGGUAGUGGCAGAAGAAGCACCGGCUAACUACGUGCCAGCAGCCGCGGUAAUAC
rnacentral:rRNA from 1 species